rnacentral:rRNA from 1 species
UGGGGAAUUUUGCGCAAUGGGCGAAAGCCUGACGCAGCAACGCCGCGUGGGUGAAGAAGGCUCUUGGGUCGUAAAGCCCUUUUCCGGGGGAAGAGAACAGACGGUACUCCGGGAAUAAGCACCGGCUAACUCCGUGCCAGCAGCCGCGGUAAUACGUAGGGUGCAAGCGUUGUCCGGAUUUAUUGGGUUUAAAGGGUGCGUAGGCGGCCUGUUAAGUCAGUGGUGAAAUCCAACAGCUCAACUGUUGAUGUGCCAAUGAUACUGACAGGCUUGAGUACAGACGAGGUAGGCGGAAUUGACAGUGUAGCGGUGAAAUGCAUAGAUAUUGUCAAGAACACCGAUAGCGAAGGCAGCUUGCUAGCCUGUAACUGACGCUGAGGCACGAAAGUGUGGGGAUCAAACAGGAUUAGAUACCCUGGUAGUCCACACUGUAAACGAUGAUUACUCGAUGUUGGCGAUACACAGUCAGCGUCUUAGCGAAAGCGAUAAGUAAUCCACCUGGGGAGUACGCUGGCAACAGUG